UUACUCCAUUUUUGCCAGAAUUGGAAACCUCAUCAGAAAUACUUCAAUUUAAGAGAAUUGGCUAAUUGAUUACAGUAUCGCCAGCAAGAAAAAAAAGAUUGACAUGCUACUAAAAUAAAGUUGAUAAAUAUAACAGCAAAAUGUUCAAAUCUGGAGACCAAAACCCAGGAUCUAGAUGCUGCAAUUUUGAGUGAGACAGAACAAGAGAAGGCUCUGCAUCAGGCCCAGGUUGGUAAAGCUUCUUUUAUAUUUGGGUCUUGAAACCCAGAAUAUUU
rnacentral:lncRNA from 1 species